UACGAAGGGGGGCUAGCGUUGCUCGGAAUCACUGGGCGUAAAGGGUGCGUAGGCGGGUCUUUAAGUCAGGGGUGAAAUCCUGGAGCUCAACUCCAGAACUGCCUUUGAUACUGAAGAUCUUGAGUCCGGGAGAGGUGAGUGGAACUGCGAGUGUAGAGGUGAAAUUCGUAGAUAUUCGCAAGAACACCAGUGGCGAAGGCGGCUCACUGGCCCGGUACUGACGCUGAGGCACGAAAGCGUGGGGAG
rnacentral:rRNA from 1 species